GCAGAUAAGCUCUCCAAAGUUCAUUUUGUGUACCUAGUUUUGAUCUUCUGAAGCCAUUAUUUUUCUUUUCAUAUUCAUUGUAGAGCCUACUAACAUCACUUAGUUGAGAAAACAUGGGUCCUUCCCUGCCUUUCUGAAAGUGCUGCUGAUUUUUCUGGGGAAUUUAGCCAUUCAAUUGUUGUAAUCUUUGACAUCUAACAUGCAGAUUUUUAUAGUUGACAUUUUCUUCAAAUUUACAUCAGCAUGUUGAUUUUAGUUACUUGCAAUGGUCGCCAAGCUCAGCAGUCAGAUAAUUUGCAAGGUUUGGUACCAAAAUUGAAUAAAUUAUAUACUAUAAUUAAACCAUAACAUACAGGCAUUACAAAUUACUAAACAAACUAUUAAACAUGCCUCGUCUAUUUUCUCUUCUAGACUCCUAAGCCUAAGGCACGUCUUUAAAUAAGCCAAGCAUAACAUGAUUUUCAUCUAAUAUUCACUGUAACACCUGAGUCGCCUUGACAUGAGUCUGCAUAACUUCUCAUUAGACAGUUCAAAUCUAUUUAUAAUAGAAUUGUUUGAUGCAUCUCCACAUAUCUUUUCCUCAGGCAUCCCAAUAUCCUUUGCCAGCUUCUCUGCCUCACUAUGUGUAUCAAUUACAUGGUCAAAGCAAAUGUAUCUACCAGAUGCAUUGUUGUUCAUUUCCUUGAAUACGCUUGCAUGAGCUUCAGCCAAUUUGGUCACAUCAACUGUUGCUAGCAAACGACGAGAGUACAUUUCUUGGGCACCUACAUUUGCAAUCGUAAAAUCUUUAUGUUUCAUUUUUAAAUUAAUUGAUAUUAAGUAAAAUUGUCCAAAAGUAUAUAUAAGUUACACCCUAGGAAUUGAGGGCGAUACAAAAAGAAAAUGGGCUACAGAUACUAUGUUAGAUGCAUUUUAAAAUUAAUUGACAUUAAGUGAAAUUGCUCAAAAAUGAAUAUAUAAGUUACACCCUAGUAAUUGAGACAAACCACGUGGACUUUACAACAUAUUAUAUCAAUAUCACAUAGUACAAGAAAUUGGACCACUGAUUUUGGUCAAUAGUAAGUAGUACCUUUGAGAUAAGCAAUUGUUGCUGUUGGAUUCCUGUUACAAAAUUCAGGACCUGUAAUUAGAGCUGGACAAAUAGUAGUGAGCUUCAAACCCCUUUCAUCAGAUAUUCUCCAAGCAGCCUUCUCUGCUCUCAUCUUGCCUAAAGCAUACCAAAGCUGCCAUAUAUAUAUAUAUUCAAAAGAAAAAGCAGGGUCAUAUAAUAUGUCAUUGUAAUCGGCAUAAACAUGUUACAUAGUAGGAAAAUAACAAAAUAAAAUAACAUUAAUAAAGUUCAAUCACUGUUUGCAAAGUUUACCUUCUUUUCUGUGCAGAAUGAUUCAGUGCUCCAAGACCCAUGACUAAUAACUGAG
rnacentral:lncRNA from 1 species